GUCUCCCAAGAUGAGAAGAGGGAUGAAGAGGGAGGAGCAGAGACAGGUGUGCUGGCAUAGUCUCAGAUUGCUUGGAAAGGACCUGGUGGCAGAGGGAAUUUUGGCAGCUGUGGAAGGUGGGGACCUUCAGCCUCCACAACUGCCUAAUAGAGGCAAGACCUAUGAGAAGGGUUGCUGUGCUCAUUAGGCCUGGCUCCCCUGAGCUGGCCUGCUUUCUGUUACUAAAGAGUUAACUUCACAUACUCUGUGGAUUUCUGGCUGACUGGCUCCCUGUCAGGUAGGACCCAUACCAAUGGAUUCCAGUUACAAGAAAGGAAAUUCCAACUCAACAUCAGGAAGAACGUUCUGAGGAGUCUUCAACUUAAGCACUUUACAGUGGAACCUCAGUUGUCAAAUGCUUCGGAAGUCGAACACUUCAGCUUUCAAAUGCCGACAACCCGGGAGUGAAUGCUUCCGUUUUCAAACGUGCCUCAGAAGUUGAAUGGCUUCCGAGGCGCAUUUCUCCAUUUUUUCAAUGGAUUUUGCCGACCAGCAAUAGCGCCUGGGUUGUCAUACGUUUUGGAAGUCAAACAGUCUUUCGGAAUGGAUUAUGUUCGACAACCGAGGUAUUCUUUAGGAAGUUAAGCUAGUGACUGGCUUCCCCCUUCCCUCUUCUAACCAUUUUCCCAAAGUGGUACUACUAUUUUUAUCCUCCUUUAGCUGCGUCUUGCAUGGCGGAGUUUAGCUGACCCAAGGGCAGAUGUCUGGCCUGCCAGGAAGUGCUGAAUGAACAUGAUGAUUAGGGGAGGACCACUAGUAAACACUCGUAGCAUAUUUGUCAAUCAACAGGAAAUUAAUGGCAUGAUAUAUAGCAGGAAUGAGGCACAAGCUUUCUGGCUUUUUGAACAGGUUAAGAAAGCAGGGCAAGAGUAAUAUGAAAAGGACAUUGAUUUGCAGCCCCGUGUUCUAACAGAGGCUUACCUACUUGCAGCAAAAAAGGGCUCAUGCACAACGAAUCAUAGGAAUGCAGCCUCAAGCCUCAAGGCCUGGAGAAGAGCCAGCUAUAAAGGUUCCUUCCUUAAGUUGAGCCUAUUCACUCAAACACAGAGGCCAUUUAAUGGAUGUUAAAUUUUGCAGAGUGACCAUGUUGCAAAAGACCCAAAAUAAAUGUGACUUGCUAUUUAAACUC